rnacentral:hammerhead_ribozyme from 1 species
GCACUGCUGAUGAGUCCCACAAUAGGACGAAACGGCCUUCUAGUGC